rnacentral:rRNA from 1 species
UGGGGAAUAUUGGACAAUGGGCGAAAGCCUGAUCCAGCCAUGCCGCGUGUGUGAAGAAGGUCUUCGGAUUGUAAAGCACUUUAAGUUGGGAGGAAGGGCAUUAACCUAAUACGUUAGUGUUUUGACGUUACCGACAGAAUAAGCACCGGCUAACUCUGUGCCAGCAGCCGCGGUAAUACAGAGGGUGCAAGCGUUAAUCGGAAUUACUGGGCGUAAAGCGCGCGUAGGUGGUUUGUUAAGUUGGAUGUGAAAUCCCCGGGCUCAACCUGGGAACUGCAUUCAAAACUGACUGACUAGAGUAUGGUAGAGGGUGGUGGAAUUUCCUGUGUAGCGGUGAAAUGCGUAGAUAUAGGAAGGAACACCAGUGGCGAAGGCGACCACCUGGACUAAUACUGACGCUCAGGUGCGAAAGCGUGGGGAGCAAACA